rnacentral:lncRNA from 1 species
AUGUUCUCAGAGAGUGUGUCUCCGUCCACAGGUAUCACAUUCCCUCCAUGUUCUGAGCCAGAAGCAGCUUCAACAGAGGGCAAUCCUGCAGGAAUGGGAGUAUUCUCUGAGAAACUAUCUCCUACAGCAGGUAUGUUUCUUCUCUGUGUUUGUGAUCAUGUUUGCUUCCACGGAGGGCAAGCCAUAGUAUCCAGAAUGUUCUCAGAGAGUGUGUCUCCUUCCACAGGUAUCACAUUCCCUCCAUGUUCUGAGACAGAAGCAGCUUCAACAGAGGGCAAUCCUGCAGGAAUGGGAGUGUUCUCAGGGACACUAUCUCCUACAGCAGGUAUUGUUUCUUCUCUGUGUUUUGUGAUCAUGUUUGCUUCCACAGAGGGCAAGCUCAUAGUAUCCAGAAUGUUCUCAGAGAGUGUGUCUCCUUCCACAGGUAUCGCAUUCCCUUCAUGUUCUGAGACAGAAGCAGCUUCAACAGAGGGCAAUCCUGCAGGAAUGGGAGUAUUCUCUGAGAGACUAUCUCCUACAGCAGGUAUUGUUUCUUCUCUGUGUUUUGUGAUCAUGUUUGCUUCCACAGAGGGCAAGCCCAUAGUAUCCAGAAUGUUCUCAGAGAGUGUGUCUCCUUCCACAGGUAUCACAUUCCCUCCGUGUUCUGAGCCAGAAGCAGCUUCAACAGAGGGCAAUCCUGCAGGAAUGGGAGUAUUCUCUGAGAAACUAUCUCCUACAGCAGGUAUUGCAUUCCACCCAUCCUCUGAGACAGAAGCUGCUUUGACAGAGGGCGAUAUUGCAGGAAUGGGAGUACUCUUGGAGAGACUCUCUCCUACAGCAGGUAUCUAUGUUUUGUGAUCAUGUUUGCUUCCACAGAGAGCAAGCGA